rnacentral:sRNA from 1 species
CAAGAUGGCGGAUGAGGCCACGCGACGUGUUGUGUCUGAGAUCCCGGUGCUGAAGACUAACGCCGGACCCCGAGAUCGUGAGUUGUGGGUGCAGCGACUGAAGGAGGAAUAUCAGUCCCUUAUCCGGUAUGUGGAGAACAACAAGAAUGCUGACAACGAUUGGUUCCGACUGGAGUCCAACAAGGAAGGGACUCGGUGGUUUGGAAAAUGCUGGUAUAUCCAUGACCUCCUGAAAUAUGAGUUUGACAUCGAGUUUGACAUUCCUAUCACAUAUCCUACUACUGCCCCAGAAAUUGCAGUUCCUGAGCUGGAUGGAAAGACAGCAAAGAUGUACAGGUAGGACUGAAUAGGAGAUGGCAAAGAGUCAAAGAAGGCCUUAAGGAAGAACUUCAUGGCGGGAGGGAGAGCAUCAGGAAGAAUAGCUAAUGGAUGCUUGGCUUGAUGUCUGGGUGAUGGGAUGAUCUAUGCAUAAAUCACCAUGGCACGUUUACCUAUGUAACAAACCUAUACAUCCUACAUGUGUACCUCUGAACUUAAAAGUUGUAAGGAAAAAAAAAAAGGAAGAACUUUGGAGGCAGAGAUUUUCCCAGGGUCUGCUGGCCUAGUGGGGUGUCAGGCCCUCCUCUGCUGAGCCUAAGCAAAGUACUUAGCUGAACUUGUUCUCAAUUCUGAUCACUAGUAGUCUUCCUAUGCCCCCAAGAGGCUGCUGUGCUUUAUGGUAAACUUUGCAUGUCAACACUUUCUUCAUGUCCCUCUCAUAGGGGUGGCAAAAUAUGCCUGACGGAUCAUUUCAAACCUUUGUGGGCCAGGAAUGUGCCCAAAUUUGGACUAGCUCAUCUCAUGGCUCUAGGGGUAAGUUUUGUAUAUUUGGCAUAAAAGGAGAAAG